rnacentral:rRNA from 1 species
AGCGGCAGGCGUUAACACAUGCAAGUCGAGGGGCGAGCACGGGUAGCAAUACCUGGUGGCGACCGGCGCAAGGGUGCGUAACGCGUGAGCAACAUGCCCUAUACAGGGGGAGUAAUCCAGGGAAACUUGGUCUAAUAUCCCAUAGUAUUUAGUAGGAGGCAUCUUCUAUAAAUUAAAGCUUCGGUGGUAUAGGAUUGGCUCGCGUGACAUUAGCUAGAUGGUGAGGUAACGGCUCACCAUGGCAAUGAUGUCUAGGGGUUCUGAGAGGAAGGCCCCCCACACUGGGACUGAGACACGGCCCAGACUCCUACGGGAGGCAGCAGUGAGGAAUAUUGGACAAUGGAUGGAAAUCUGAUCCAGCCAUGCCGCGUGCAGGAAGACAGCCCUAUGGGUUGUAAACUGCUUUUAUAUGGGAGCAAUAAGGUCUACGUGUAGACUGAUGAGAGUACCAUAUGAAUAAGCAUCGGCUAACUCCGUG